GUUGGCCCCAUAAACCUUUUUUAAUUAAAAAUUACACUAAUGUACACAAUGGGGGAAGAGGGAGGCUCUGAAUCAAUUUAUUGUAUAUUCAUCAGUAAACAAAUGGUCAGUAUGUAAGAAGGAUGAGAAUUCAGCCUUUUGUGUCUAUCGGUUAAUUGAUCCUUUAUUGUUGUAUAACACUUGGCUUUAAGCAGCCUGUAAAAAAUAAGUAAACAACAGUAAUUAAACACAAAGCAUUGAAAAUAAUUAUAAAUGUAUGGAUCUGUAAUAUAUACGUGACUAAAUUAUCACUUAGGCUUACACUUACAACAAAAAUCAAAUAGAAAAAAACCAUUAAAGUAGUAGCAAUCACAAAUUAUUCUGAACAGUGGGCCAUUCAACGCGCCAUCUUGUGGCGUAAACGUGUAGUGCGCCCACGACGCUUCAAAUAAUUUAUUUCUGUCUUUAAUUUGUGAAAAUUGACAAAAUAAAAAAAUGAUGUACUGACUAAAAAGCACUCUUUAAAAUAAUUACUACGGAGUCAAGGGGCUAUAUGAAGCAGCAAAUGAAGCUGUAUGUAUUACCCGUAUAUAUGCGCUGAAUAAAAUAAGGUGCUUAUAUUGUGGUUCAAUAAAAUUAAUUACAUUCUUUGUAGAGAAUACAAGAACAAUUCCUACUUGAAUAGAUCAUAUUUAGAUAAAAAAAAAAAAGCCGUGAGUAUUACCCCAAGGAUAAUUGGGAAGUAAUGAGUUGCUCCGGUUCAACUCUUCCUGUUUUUCUGAAACAAUUUAUACUCUCGCGACAGCUUGCUUUCAGCCACACCAGCCCGUUGUCAUGGAUACAGCGCUCCUAUCGCAGACGCCAGUUUCCUCGCAGUAAAUGUCAAUUCAUUUGUUUAAGGACACAGCAGGACUAAAAGUGCAGACGAUGGACCAGGACGCUCAACUAAACAACUUGCGGCUUCAGUUUGAAGCGCUUCAAAAACAGCAGGAGAAAAGAAAACUGGAGAGGAAAAAGGACAAAGAAGCAGCGUCUGUCGCCAAUGAAGAUUCAGAUUUGUCUUUGGAAAGUCCUCCGGGUACAAAUGACAGGCCAUUGCAGCAUGAAAAUCAGAAACUUUUAGAGCAGCUAAGAGAGCUGGAAGACGUCAACGGACGACUCGUCAAACUUCUGAGCGAAAAGGAGUUUGAGAUUAAACACUUGAAGAAGAAAAGAGAUGAAGAAAGAUUAGCUUUGGCAGGCACAGCUGGCUUGGAAGGAGCUGUUGCUGCCACCAAGAUUAUUGAGUUAUCCAAGAAAAAUAGAGAACUAAAUGUUACAAUUGAGCAGGAAAAGGUGAAAUCAAAGCAAAGCGCCAACCGAAUUAAGGAGCUCGAAAGAGAGCUUCAAGUUGCUCUUUCUGGGGAAAAGACUGACAGCAAACCACUGGAGAAGAGCUCAUCUGAGGAUUGUGAGCAGGAAAACCCAGGCGUCAAAUCUCUGCAGAAGAAAUUAGCAGCUGCAGAACUGAAAAUGACUGAAUAUCGCAACCAGGUUCAGUCUGCAAAGCAGGAGCUGAAAGUAGCUCAGAAGGUAUUGAUCAGCGAAGUUGGAGAGGAAGUCAACCUUCAGCAAGUACUCAGCAGCCCUGGAAGCUUCCGAGGUCGGUCACAGCAGAUACUGGCUCUUCAGACAAAGGUGCGGGACCUUGAGCAGCAACUGAAGCAGGCGAUCCAACUCGGCCAGUCCAGUGUCUUCAGUUUAGAUGAAGAGUUUCAGGGGGUGGGUGUCUUUCAGAAAACCCCUCCACCCAACAAGAACCUCAGCUACAUCCGCACCAUGGAGAAAAGGAAGAGGGAAGCCUUUGAGAAAAUAUCUGCAGAUUAUGAAGCCCUGUUGAAAGAAAACAAGGAGAUGAAGAAAAAGAUGGAUGCUGCAAAAGCUAGAAAUGCAUGUCAGUCCAAUGAAAUUAUAACAUUGAGAGCCCAGCUCUCCACCCUGCAGGAGAAGGGGAAACAUGACGAGGAGCUCAUGGAUGCCUUGCUGAAGCAGCAGGUCCAGAUGCAGACAGCAAUGAAACACCUCUGCGGACAGCAGAGUGGACCAAUCAGGGAGCUCCCAAAGAGCUUGAAGCAACAGCUGAGCAGCGAGAACACGACUCUGGUCCAGAAACUGAAGCAGGUGGUUGCUGAGAAAGAAGCGAAAAUUAGAGAACUACAGGAAAUUCAGCGACAAUCCAUCAAGUUAAAGGAAGAUUGUGAGGAGAAGCAGUCAGACGCCAAGCAGAAGAAAUGCAGUCCAGGUUUCUCUCCAGAAGGUGGAGCUAUUACCAAAGAAAUCCUCUCUUCAGGUUCAGUUACAAAGUUUGGUCAUAAACUGGUGCUCCCCGCUUUGGGCAGUGGUCCCGAAUCCAGAAGUCCCAGUUCCUCAAAGUGUCCUCGAUGUUCUGCUGAUGUGGGCGAAUGGCUGACUCAGACCAGUGAAUACAGAGUCCUCAGUGUGGAGAGGGACAGACUCCUCCAGGUGGUUGACGUCCUGCAGAAAAAAGAGAAAGAGAUGAGCAGAAUCUGUCUGGAGGUUCAGCAGAAGUAUCAGGAGGAGCGGCGCAAAGCUGUGAUUCUGGAGCAGGAACUGGAAAGAGCAAAAAUCCAUCCAAAGUAAGGAGCAGAGCGGAUUCGCCGCAUGACCGGACAAAGUCGAGACAAUUUCACUUCUUGCACUUUUUCCUAACUCCUGAACUCUUACUGCAUACCCCUAUUACUUGUAGUUAGCAUGACUUUGUCACUUAGGGUGUCAGGAGUCUGGAGAAGUCCACUUCAGGUAACAUGAAUGAUCGUGUGCUGCGGCGGGGACGCCGUUUCUGUCCAUCAUAUGUAAACUGGACUGAACUGUCUGUCGUCGUCUCCCGGCCGAUUAAACACCCGGAGGAGAGCAGUUGCACGGAAGGCGUUGCUAAAGAGCACUCCUCACUGAGACCUGCAGGAUAAAAGUGACACGAUGAGACGAGUGGAGCAUGUCUUCCCGGAGGCUCAGUGACAGCAAUGACACGACACUAACCAGCAGGACUCGCUGGUCCCUGCUCAGCUUCACUUCCAGCUGAGCGCUACCUUCUCCUGUCACAAGUGACAAACAGCAGCCCGCAGGGAAGAAGUUCUCUUCUACGGCCACUAAACCUCAUGGAUGGUUUUCCAGUUUGUAAUACUAUGACAAAACCUUCAGUUUGGCCCUGAUGGCAGCAGAAAAGUUUCUCAUUGAGGUAUUCCCACGUUCUGGACCAAUGCUUCCUGCAGACCAUUGACUGCAUCCAGAAACUAAAGUAAACAGCGGAGCUGCGAACGCAGAGGUUAAAGUUAGCCAUCAGUGCAUGAGGGAUCUGUGAACCGCUCUGCAGGCCAGGAACGGUUUGUGCAUCUAUGAGUUUAUUCAUCUCCCCGCACCUCUCAUUUACAUGUAAUGGUAGAAAAAUAAACAGCUGAGCCCUAAUGUGCUCAUUUACAGUAAGUAGAAAUAAAGUAAUUACUUGUUGUCUUCUCUAA